rnacentral:lncRNA from 1 species
UUUACUCCUUUGUUUAAAUGAGCUUACAUUCCUCAUUUGUAUAAUUUUUACAUCUUCUGUUUAUUUAAGUGCUUAGGUUUUGUUGACACGUCUGCUCUUGGGAAUGAAUUCCUAAGCACCAGCCUACACUGGCUCAACAGGCUCAACUCUGCACCAGCAAUUUCUCUUGUCAGGAAAGAAAGCACAAUCAAAAAUAUAAGAAGAGAUUGCUCCUCCUUUUGAUGCAGUAAGCAGAGCUGAUUGAAGGUUUCAGAAUACCUUUGUUUCGUUUGUUUGCUGGAAAGCCAAACUGGUUGUGCAUAAAAGGAAUUCACUUAGAACUCAGUGGUGAGUAGAUUGAACUGUAUAUAUAUAUUCCUGUUCCUAACCUCUUUUAAAUGAGUAGCAUCACA